rnacentral:rRNA from 1 species
UCCGUAGGUGAACCUGCGGAAGGAUCAUUCAUAAUAAGUGUUUUAUGGCACUUUUUAAAUCCAUAUCCACCUUGUGUGCAAUGUCAGUCGAUCUUCUUCAUGGAGAUCGGCCAAACAUCAACCUUAUCUUUUAACUUUUUGUCUGAAAAAUGUUAUGAAUAAACAAUUCAAAAUACAACUUUCAACAACGGAUCUCUUGGCUCUCGCAUCGAUGAAGAACGCAGCGAAAUGCGAUACGUAAUGUGAAUUGCAGAAUUCAGUGAAUCAUCGAAUCUUUGAACGCAUAUUGCGCUCUUUGGUAUUCCGAAGAGCAUGCUUGUUUGAGUAUCAGUAAACACCUCAAAGCUUUUGGAUUUUUUUUUUUGAAAGCUUUGGACUUGAGCAAUCCCAACACCAAUCUUUUUCAGAUCGGCGGCGGGUUGCUUGAAAUGCAGGUGCAGCUGGACUUUCUCCUGAGCUAAAAGCAUAUUCAUUUAGUCCCGUCAAACGGAUUAUUACUUUUGCUGCAGCUAACAUAAAGGGAGUUUGACCGCAUUGGCUGACUGAUGCAGGAUUUCACAAGGGUCGGCAACGAUUCUUGUUAAACUCGAUCUCAAAUCAAGUAAGACUACCCGCUGAACUUAAGCAUAUCAAUAAGCGGAGGA